rnacentral:rRNA from 1 species
UACGGGGGGGGCAAGCGUUGUUCGGAAUUACUGGGCGUAAAGGGCGCGUAGGCGGUGCUCUAAGUCGGAUGUGAAAACUCUGGGCUCAACUCAGAGCCUGCAUCCGAAACUGGAGUGCUAGAGUUCUGGAGGGGGUAGCGGAAUUCCUGGUGUAGCGGUGAAAUGCGUAGAUAUCAGGAGGAACACCGGUGGCGAAGGCGGCUACCUGGACAGAAACUGACGCUGAGGCGCGAAAGCUAGGGGAGCGAACAGG